GGACCCGGGCCAUCCAGCACUGGCUGACCGAGAGUGCCCGCCUCAUCUCCCACAUGGGCUCCGUGGUGGAGUGGGUCACACCCCUGGGCGUCCCUGUCAUCCAGCCGUAUCGCCUGGACUCCAAGGUCAAGCAAAUAGGAGGUGGAAUUCAGAGCAUCACCUACACCCACAACGGAGACAUCAGCCGAAAGCCCAACACACGUAAGCAGAAGAACGGCUUCCCGCCCAACUUCAUCCACUCGCUGGACUCCUCCCACAUGAUGCUCACCGCCCUGCACUGCUACAGGAAGGGCCUGACCUUCGUCUCUGUGCACGACUGUUACUGGACCCACGCAGCUGAUGUCUCCGUCAUGAACCAGGUGCCCCCAUAGUCUGAGCCUCAGUCCACCCAUGGGUGGGGCCCCCACACUGGGGCGUUGGGUAGGGGUGGUGCCCAGAGCCUGCCUGAUCACCCCUGGGGAUCCUCUGACUCCUGCCCAGGUGUGCCGGG
rnacentral:sRNA from 1 species